AAAUAAAAUACAUUACAAAGAUUGUGAACAGAUUGCGAUGGAUCUGAAUCUGACUUUGCAGCAGGUUAGUUCUGGUUUGUGCUAAUACUGGCAGCUCCUUUUGUGCUUCCUGUUAUUCACCACUUUGCUUUCUGUUUCCUUUUCGCACAAUCGUUGUAGGUGCUUCAUUUCUAUUAUGAUAAGCAUCACAGAAGCUUGGGAAAGUUGGCGAAAAAUGACGGGGAGGAUUCUCAACCAUCAGAUAAUAAAAAACAUUCUUCUCGAAAGCGGAAGACACCGUUGCAAAAUAAUUCACGAAAGAAAGGUUCCGCCGCAAAUGUGGAAUCAGGUGAACUUGAUGAAGUAUCUGAUGGCGUUGGCCA
rnacentral:lncRNA from 1 species